UAAAAUCUUAGAUGAAAGACUGUAAAUCUUUAUAAGCACUUUUAA
rnacentral:tRNA from 1 species